rnacentral:ribozyme from 1 species
UUUUUUUUUUUUUUUUUUUUUUUUUUUUUUUUUUUUUCUCCAACUCUAUAGCACU